GGCUGGAUAGCUUAGGUGGUUAAGCAUCUGACUUUGGUUCAGGUCAUGAUAUCACGUUUUGUGAGUUCAAGUCCCGCUUCUCUCU
rnacentral:tRNA from 1 species